rnacentral:rRNA from 1 species
UACGUAGGGUGCGAGCGUUAAUCGGAAUUACUGGGCGUAAAGCGUGCGCAGGCGGUUUUUUAAGCCAGAUGUGAAAUCCCCGGGCUCAACCUGGGAACUGCAUUUGGAACUGGAAGACUAGAGUAUAGCAGAGGGAGGUAGAAUUCCACGUGUAGCAGUGAAAUGCGUAGAUAUGUGGAGGAAUACCGAUGGCGAAGGCAGCCUCCUGGGUUAAUACUGACGCUCAUGCACGAAAGCGUGGGGAGCAAACAGG